rnacentral:rRNA from 1 species
GACGAACGCUGGCGGCGUGCUUAACACAUGCAAGUCGAACGGUGAAGCGCCUUCCUUUUUGGUGGGUGUGGAUGAGUGGCGAACGGGUGAGUAACACGUGAGUAACCUGCCCCCUUCUUCUGGAUAACCGCAUGAAAGUGUGGCUAAUACGGGAUAUUCUGGGUCUGUCGCAUGAUGGGUCUGGGAAAGAUAUUGUUUCGGUGGGGGAUGGGCUCGCGGCCUAUCAGCUUGUUGGUGGGGUGAUGGCCUACCGAGGCGGUGACGGGUAGCCGGCCUGAGAGGGUGGACGGUCACACUGGGACUGAGACACGGCCCAGACUCCUACGGGAGGCAGCAGUGGGGAAUAUGGCACAAUGGGCGCAAGCCUGAUGCAGCGACGCCGCGUGAGGGAUGGAGGCCUUCGGGUUGUGAACCUCUUUCGCCAGUGAAGCAGGCCUGCCUCGUUUGUGGGUGGGUUGACGGUAGCUGGAUAAGAAGCGCCGGCUAACUACGUG